rnacentral:lncRNA from 1 species
UGCCCCUGCACUAAAUUUUCGCUUCAUAAACAUCAUAGGUCUAGGAUCUCGCCUAAAGUUAACCAAUUGAUUUGGGUUAUCUAGGUAUCUGAACCCUCCACUAGUUUAGAAGACAUCUAGAUAAAGAAAUCCAUAUUGAAGAGAGAAGUCUAGAAAGAUAAAAUUUUAGAGAGAGAAACUCAUAUAGAGAGAAAGUGGAGAGAUAAGGUAGGGAGAGGAG